UACGGGAGGCAGCAGUGGGGAAUAUUGCACAAUGGGCGCAAGCCUGAUGCAGCCAUGCCGCGUGUAUGAAGAAGGCCUUCGGGUUGUAAAGUACUUUCAGCGGGGAGGAAGGCGAUGCGGUUAAUAACCGCGUCGAUUGACGUUACCCGCAGAAGAAGCACCGGCUAACUCCGUGCCAGCAGCCGCGGUAAUACGGAGGGUGCAAGCGUUAAUCGGAAUUACUGGGCGUAAAGCGCACGCAGGCGGUCUGUUAAGUCAGAUGUGAAAUCCCCGGGCUUAACCUGGGAACUGCAUUUUGAAACUGGCAGGCUUGAGUCUUGUAGAGGGGGUAGAAUUCCAGGUGUAGCGGUGAAAUGCGUAGAGAUCUGGAGGAAUACCGGUGGCGAAGGCGGCCCCUGGGACAAGACUGACGCUCAGGGUGCGAAAGCGUGGGGAGCAAACAGGAUUAGAUACC
rnacentral:rRNA from 1 species